AGUCGCACGGGUGGGGCAACCCAUCAGUGGCGGACGGGUGAGUAACGCGUGGGGAUCUGUCUCCGGGUGGGGGAUAACGGCGGGAAACUGUCGCUAAUACCGCAUGACACCUGAGGGUCAAAGCAGCAAUGCGCCUGGAGAGGAACCCGCGUCCGAUUAGCUUGUUGGUGAGGUAAAGGCUCACCAAGGCUCCGAUCGGUAGCUGGUCUGAGAGGAUGAUCAGCCACACUGGGACUGAGACACGGCCCAGACUCCUACGGGAGGCAGCAGUGGGGAAUAUUGGACAAUGGGCGCAAGCCUGAUCCAGCAAUGCCGCGUGAGUGAAGAAGGUCUUCGGAUUGUAAAGCUCUUUCGGCGGGGACGAUGAUGACGGUACCCGCAGAAGAAGCCCCGGCUAACUUCGUGCCAGCAGCCGCGGUAAUACGAAGGGGGCUAGCGUUGCUCGGAAUGACUGGGCGUAAAGGGCGCGUAGGCGGUUCGUACAGUCGGAUGUGAAAUUCCCGGGCUCAACCUGGGGGCUGCAUUCGAUACGUGCGGGCUUGAGUCCGGAAGAGGGUGGUGGAAUUCCCAGUGUAGAGGUGAAAUUCGUAGAUAUUGGGAAGAACACCGGUGGCGAAGGCGGCCACCUGG
rnacentral:rRNA from 1 species